AGCUAUAGGCGGCACCACGAGCGGCAAAACACGCCGCAAAACUACAAAACAUGCAGAAACAUAAACGCGGAUCGACGUUACAAUGGCAUUCUUCGAGGUUCGACGAGUUUAUCUGAUUUUGUGGUGAUUUCUGGAUAUGUGGGGCACACUGGCAACGAGUCCGUACAGCGUCACGGGAAGUUUCCAUCUGAAAGAUACGGCACAACCAACUCAAGAUACUGAUAUUACGAGUUCAUUAAUACCACAAGGACAUUUGUUAAAAGAUGUCAGCCAAAGUGAGAGGAAAACAAUGGACAAGCAAUUGUCAGAAGAACGCGAACGUUCCGGGAGUUUGGAUACUACAAAAUUAUUGUCUGAGAAUGAUAUUAAAUGUGAUCAAAGUAAUAAAUCACAAAGCAAUCAUUUGGAAGCUAACAAAUCACUUCAAGAAAUUUUUCCUUGGCUUAUUAAAUUCACCAAAAUUAUGUGUUCUGCGGUUGGUAAUAAAAGCUACCAGCUUUUGGAGCGGUUACUGUCCAUUUAUAUAGAGAAUGUAUCCAAAGAUGUAAAUACAUGCUACUCUAAGCCUUAUAGAGCAGCUAAACUAAAGAAUCAUAUGAAUAAUACUCUUACAUUUUUUCAUUUUUACUGGCAAGACGUAAAAGAGGGAGUGAAUGAUCACAGUUCAUAUUUGGAUAAGAUGUCUGAAAUAGUUGGAUUGUAUAUGGAUAUGGAGCUUAAAGCAUCCAAAAGGGGAAAAGAUUCAUGUCUUAAAGUUGCCGCAAAACUCCUCACUGCUCUGCACAUAUUUCUAGAAAACUCGGAGGAACAUACAUUCAAAGUAUUGUUCAGAGCAAAAUUCAUCACAAAGAAGUACAGUGACAUAUUUGACCUUAUUUUCACGAAAUGUUUUGCAAGCGUAUCAAAGAACAUAGAGCCAAUGUCGGACGUGACGUAUGUGCGCUACUUGCUUGCUUUGAAGUUAUGGAAAAAGAUCAAGAAAGAUUCCCGUGACAAAAAGAAGAUCAACGAAUUAGCUCUGUCCAAAUUGGGUCCGUUGGUACCCAACGUGGGCUCGGAGUUGGCGAAAUUUAUUCCGAAACCACCAAAGUGUCAUAAAAGCCGAACAUUAUCUUUAAUGCAACCGAACUCAUUCGAUUUGAGAAGUGCGUGUGAUAACUUUUUGUCAUUUCAAGAUAAAGAUCUUGUGUCCUUGCCAAAGGAGGAAUCAACGACAAAAGUGAUUGAGAAUAACGUCGUAUCCACUGCAAAGAGAAACUCAUAUCAUCCAGUAUCAAUGGAUCAGCAACAAACUCAGGUAGGAAAUGAGAAUCGUCCAAAAAUCAUGACACUUUGUGAAACUCCAGCGAUUGGAAUAUCUCCGGCUAAGAAGUCGGUGAAAUUGAAGAAGUUCAAGCGAUUAGUACCAAAGUUAAAACCAGGUGAGAUUAUACUGAUUGACUUGAUAAUGGAAGAGGAAGAGAAUAAAGAAACAAAUUUGAGGAAAAAGAAGAAGAAAAAAUGUAAGAAAAAGCCAGAAUGGUUAAGGGAAGGUAAGAAGAAAUUAAAGGCAAAGAAAGAGGCUAAUCUUUCAAAAUCCGACUACUGGAUAAAUACACCGGAUGCGAAACUUACUGAAAAUCAUGACGAUAAUCCAUCCAGUUCUAUUUCCGAAUGCGUGCCAGUAUCUGAGAACAAAGUAACCGAAAGGUACGGAGGUUGUAUGUUGUCAAAUGGCCAAACUAACAAAUCAUUAUGCAACAGUGUCAAGAAAAUCGCUUAUGCCUCAAUGAAUCUGCAGCAAGCAGAGAAAAAGGAAAAAGAUGGAAUAUUGUCGGAAGUAUCUCCUUUGAGGGAUAGUGAAAUGAUUUUGAAUUAUACGAAAUCUCAGGUCAAUAACGACUUGUUUUCUCAGGGAGAAAACUCCGUAGAAGCAAUAGCUUCACCCGCGUUGUGCCAAGACUGUAACCUAACCUCAGAGAUUAUAAAGCAAGAUUCACAUUCAACUAUAGAUAAUAAUACAAUGAAUAGUCUAAAUGUAUCCUAUGAUAACGUUCUUACGAAUUCGUGUAAUCGUCUUCAAGAUUCAUCGAAAGACGUGUAUCGCAUGAAUAGCAGUGAUGGAGUUAUAUCAAAUAAUACAGGAAUAACCAAACCUAAGUCGAAUAAGGCUAUCGAUAAACAGGCUUCUAUUCCAAAUAAAAGCGUAGAAGUAAAUCUGUUGAGUUUUAAUGGAUUAAUGCGCAAUACAGAAGAUAUCAAUGAAUAUAAUUUAGCAGUGACACAGGGGAAGGAGCUACAGGAUAUAGUAGAUCAUAGUACAAUGGAUAAUGAAUCAGCCUGUGAUAAACAUAUAGUUAGCGAGUUCUAUAAUCUUGAUAAAUCUAUGGACAUUUCAAAUUGUAUUAGUGCGUGUGAUUUAUUUGUGAAACCAAAAAAAGUAUGGACCCAAUUUUGGGAUGUAAUACCGGGCGCAUAUCCAACAAGUUUGGACCGAGUUUUGACACAAAGUAUAAUUGAAGGCCAGGACUCUCAAAUCGUAUCACCCGCUAAAAAACUUGGAAAAGCUUCUAGUAGUUUGGGAAUAAGCGAUAUGAGUCUCAUUCAAAAGCACUCGAUAACAGCAACGAGAAAAAUGCGGAUUAAAAAAAUGUAUGAAAACCUGGAGGAGUGUGAAUCGAAGAAUGAUGAUGAUUUAUCCAAUUCGGAGGAUACCUUUAAAUCAUCAUUAUUCAAUGACGCAGAUACAGAAGAAAUUAGGACUCCCAGCAGGAAUGAAGUUGACGAGUUUGAAAAUAUUGAUAUACUGGAUAGUAUAUUGCAUGGAGAUAUGAGUCUACAAGAUAAACAAGAAAUCUUAGAGGAUCCUACUUCGGCCGUACUAGCUUCACCCAACAAGGAUAACUCGACUAAUUUAUUUAAUUGCAUCACAGAUUUUUUUGAACACGGAGAAGUAGAAUCACGCAUGAAAAGAGAGAAAACUUCAGUCUGCAAUUCAAAUUCAGAAUUCUCGAUAGAAUCGUUGCCUGAAGGAAGCCUGGGUACAACUGGCAUAUUAAACUCGUUACUUGACUUUGAAUUAACCAGUAUGAAUUCUCCUCCCAAUGACUUUAUGUAUUCAAACGUACAGACAGUAGAUCCUCGUCUGAUCAGAAUACCGCCCAAAGAUGAAAAUCUUACCACUAAUAGCUCAAAUGGUAGCAUCGAUCUCCUGGCGCAUAAGGAACAGUUGCUCAUCGACUCCAUUAAUGAAAAUGAAGCCUUUUCAAAGAAAACGAAGGAUCCUGUAUUUCUUGAUGAAAGCGACAAUGUUAGUGGGAAGGUGGCUCUGGUAGAAUAUGAUCUGAAUUCAGAUAAGUCAACUUUUGAGAUAUCUGUGCUAUCGGAAGAAGAAACUGUUAUACAAUUAUCUCAACAUGAAUUAGUAGAGGAUCCAAUAACUACUCCCAUAACGCCAUCCACGUGUCAGUCUCCACUGUCAACUCAUUCUGAUAGUGUAACGCCCGAGUUAUCGCGUACGUCCUUAUCUAAAGGUGUUGUUGAACCAGCGCAUGGUUUUAACUCCAUAGCCUUGACUGGAGCACCUUAUCUAUAUUCCAAAGUGGACAACUUGAAAGAAUUUGAAUCUCUCACGGAUUUAAUAACUCCAUCUAGUAACGAAAUCGACACCUGUAUAGAUCUGUCUACAAGUCUUCUCACAGAUUUCACUCCACCUCAAAGUGUUGAUUCGCCGACGUCUCCUUGCAUCUGUGCAACGUCGCCAGGAUCAAUUGAAUCUUGUGCUGAACGAUUCUCUUCGUGUAAUCUCAAACAAAGAACCUUACAUUCCAUGAAGGUGAAGCAAGAACAAGUCAACGAUAUAAAAAAAGAUUUCAUGGCAAAGACAUUUGACCGUCCAAAGAGAGUUUGCAGGGAAAAAGUCAAAAGUGCAAUGGAUACUACAAACGAAAAAAAUUCAGAAGAAACUACAGAAUCUUCAGAUACACAGAUGACUGUAAAUCGGUUAAGAAGACGAGAAGUUGAAGUUGAUGCCCCCUUAACACCUGUCAAAAUAUCCUAUUGCCAUGAUAAAUCAAAUAUUGUCUAUUCACCGCAAUCAGUAUGUAAACAAUUGAAACACAUAGAUUUACGUAAACUAAAUGGGACUACUCAACAAAAUAAGCAAGUGUUGGUUAAUCUAAAUGGAAAGACUACUCCAGCGAUAGUGUUCGAAAGGAGUCCGAAAAAUAAAAAGUUCCUGCAGACUUUACAAGAGGAUGUGCCCAGUCGUGGCAGUGUUCUGUACAAAGCAAGCUCAACUGUUAACACAUCCUCAACAAGAAGUCAGCCGUAUACAGUCCAUUCUAAAUUGGGAGUUGCUGUUAAGCAAAGUAUUAAUCAACCGACUCAAACAAUUAUUAAUACCAAAAGUGGAAAUGUCGCUAAGAUUCCAGAGGAGGUUUCCAGGAUAUCAAGAGCUAAAUGGUCUAUGCGAAAUAAUAAAGUUCAUACAACCAAGUUUGCGAAGGAACAGAAUGUCAGAAGAUCUGUUUCAUCAGCUACGAGCGUCGAAGAGCCAUCUAUGAAGAGAAGGAAGGUCACCUCGAAAUUGUUACCUCACUUAGAAAACGACAGAGUCAUUUUUGCUGUGAAUCAGCAGAAACCUCAAGGAAAAGAAUCCAAAACCAUUCAAAAAGGUAAAUUCAGUAAUAAAUAUAUGCUGGUCGCUUGGCUUUGGAUUCUAGUUUAUUUUAUCGGUCUAACUUUAAAUUCACAUCUUGGAUUUCUUCAUCCUAUGCUGGAUUCGAUCCAUUACUUUUUUCAACUAUUUUUCAUUAAAAUCUAAAUUCGAUAAUGGCAAGCGUACAUGAAUCACUACACGGAAGAAAUGAAUACAACACCGGAAGAUAAAUCAUCAUUGAAGAUCUGAAUCAUCAGGUUAAAGAUGGUUCCUUGGCUUUAAUUUUCUACUUGCACAAAUUUUAUCCUCUUCUUGCAAUUACGUUUGACAUGAAACAAAAAGAACGAAUAUUUCUAUAUAUUACAUUCAGUUAAUUGACAUUUCUAUAAUGAUUAUCGUAGAAGAUACAAUACUGAGCAUCCUGUUAAAUAACAAAGUACUUAAUACUAUAUGUGCCUGAAUCAUAUGCAAAGAUUUAUGCAUAGUAGAUAUAUUAUCAAUGGAAGAUCCUACGCAAAAGCAACUUCCUUGUGAAUUUAUUUAAUGGUCGUCAACCAUUUACGCUAUAUAUAAAAUACACAGAUAAGGAUUUGCGUGCAAAGACAAAACUAAAAGAACUAUCGUCUGAUGGAUAAUGAAUUCCCACGAGUGUCCAUGAAACAGUGAACAUGGUGAAACCAGUGAAUACAUAAAACAAACCAAAUCAGCAUAUUAACCACAAAUCAUUAAUCAACUAUCAUCAUUAUUCUCGUCAUCAUCAUAAUCAUCCACGUGCAACUGUAAGAAUCGCUAAUAUUUAUACAUCAUUGAUUGUAGUCAAUAUUCGUUGUGGCAGCUGAUUAAAAACUCUUCAUCAGAGUUUAAACAUUCACUAUUUUAACCGUCAUCUCAACUGCCUUAUUGAAAAAUUUUUCGAAUGAAAGUUAUUGUUUACACAUAUACAAUUAAUGAUUCGGCUUCAGAUUAGAAUAUUGCCACGAUUUUACUGUAGUACACACUUCUCGAGUUUCGUUGUAUUAGUCAGAAAAAGGAGAUUGAAAAACGAAAGGAAAAAAAGAAUAAGAGAUGUGACAUAUGUCUAUAUAUGUGGUCGUUAUUGUCAGAGACCACUUUGCGCUUGUUUCGCAGUCAUUAAUAUAUGAAAACAAGUCAAGUUCUCAUUAACUGUCAUUACAGAAAGAGAGUUUUGCGUGCAAAAGAACAAUGAAAUUAAUUUUUGUAUCGUAUUACAAUAAUUUACAUUUUAUUCACUUGCGACAAAUAUCCGAAGAUAUAUUGUGAUCGAUCUUAACACGUGUUAUGAAAAUUUCUUCGUUUCCAGAUAUCUUAUGGCAUUAGUGGUUUUAGUCUGCUGAUUGUAAAUAAUGUACAAACACGAUGAGAUUGAGGACAUGUAUUAUUACAUAAGAGUAUACUAGACUGUAUAAUAUGAAUGAUCUCUUGGCAAUUUGUUUAACUCGCAAGGCAUAUGCCUUUGCUGUAAUUGCUCCGUAUAACUGUAAAUAAUUAUUAUCAAUUUGUACAGUAGUAGUACUCUUAUGGUUUUUUUUUUUAGAGAUUACUUUCGUUUCUCCAGAGCGGCUGAAUCGUAUUAAUUUGUUUUACUAAUAAUUCCAAACAAAAAUCAUUCCAUUAGAAGAUACUGAAUAGCUGAACUUAUUAUUUCCAACUAGAUUAUAGUAGAAUAACCAGGAGUGGUUGAUAUUUUAUUAUUUUAUGUCCUUUUCUUUUUCCUUUAACAAAGACUUAAUUAUUUUGGUUACAUUAAUAUUGACUGUUGUACGUAUCGGCAAAUCGUUGCUUACUUUCAUGACAAAUUUUUUUUAACAAUAAACUAUUUUAUUAAUUUUAUAUAAACAUGUUAUCAAAAUCGAGCUUGAAAACGAAUCGAAUAACCAGCUUAGUAAUUUAAUUUGUAUUUGUUUAAUGAACAGUUGACUCACUGUUAUAGAUAUUAAAGCCAUAAAUAUGACUCGAAGCUAUUUCUCAUUAAGUGGACAAACUGGAGUUCUGAUCGAUAUAGACUGAUCUUUUGAUACCUCAUAUUUAGUUAUUUAUUAUAAUUGCGCGAUGUGACAGAGCGAGAUUCUAUGUUGGAUAAUACACCCUACAAUAGCGCAUUUCGUACGAAUUAUGUCUUUUUGGUGUAAACAAUUCUGUUUUUAUUAAUAUCAAAUCCCAUAAUGUUCGCGGAAUAGCUAAGUCUAUUUGCAUUAACGGAUUACUGACUAGAUGAAGCGUUCGACGAUUUGUAGAAUUGAUCAAGUUGAUUUGUACGUAGCGACCCUGUAGUAUUUUAAGAACAAGUUAUGAGUACAAGUAUUAUUUAAGGCUUUACGAUAUUGCAGAUAAAAAGUAAUAUCUAAUAAGAACAAAAAAAGAUCGUAUAUUACUAUAAAAAGAGAAAUUACUAUUAUUAUUUGCAACAACACUUGUGUAUUUUAUAUAAGAUUAGUCAAGAAUAUUUUAUAUAGCCCAUCGCAAGAUACUUUGUAAACUCGUGUAGAGUAUUAUUAUAAUGAACCGUUCAGUUCAAAUGUACACGUCAGUCAUGUUGACAGCUGUCAAAUACUGACUUAUGCAUUUUAACUGAUUAGUCUUUUACAAGUAUAAGAAUACGUUUCCAUUCACUUGACAUUGUCGUAUGAAAUUGUUAAGAAAAGAAAAAAAGAUACCAUUGACUGUUCUACUUAUAAUCAAUAUCAAACGCUGAUUAUUCCGUCACGUUAUUAUAACAGGAAUUUCAAGCGAACGGAUACGUAUUUUAAACGGACACGUUGCCAUAGAAUAAUUUAUAAUCAUACCGCACUCAAGUAUUUACUUAACGGAAUGUCAACAAUGUCCAAAAUCCUGUAAAAGAAGCUCCACUCUUCCAAUAUCUUCCUGAAUAGACCCUCGCGAUAUCUUCCAUACGAAUGUUCCGUUUCUUACUGUAUUAAGAAAGCCAUACAAGAAAACAAAACCCAUGUAACUUCCCUAAGCUAUUAACCACCAUUCAGUAACAGCAGAUGUAAGUUUAUCAAACCCCUAUUUUGUAAUAUAAUAGUACAAAUACUAAAUACGUAGAUGUAUAAAGUUCGUUUUUAUUCCUUGUAGAAGUAGCAUGUACGCCAACGUCGUCCUGGCCGUGACAUAAGAGCGUCUCGAUCACUUUGUAAAAGUAAGGCGUUGCUAGGAAUUAAAAAAAUUAUUCGGCUAAUUAAUCUAAGGAUGAUGAUGUGUAAUAAUAACUAGCCAGAUAUAUACAAUCGGACGUACAGAACUCAAACCAGGUGUUCCGAUAUGCAUGUACGGUCAAGUGAUAUCCUGAAAUAUUAAUUAAUGAAAUUUGCUUGCACGUGCAUACUGGCGUUCGCUUGCUUAAGAAAAUUCACGAUUUGCAAAAAUUCGUGCACGACUAAUUGUGUCGAAGGUGUGUGUGUGUGUAUCUGAUGGAGUUACUGUAAAAAUUGUAAUAAUUACGGGGUAAUAGCAUUCAUUGUGUCCAGGUAGACAGGCGGUACUUGAAUACCUGGGAUGAUCACAUUCAUUCUUUUAUUUCACUUAUCACUGUCGAUGUCGUUUUCAAAGUGUUCCUCUGAUCGUUAUUUUGGUUGGUGGUAGAUUUGAAAAAAAUAAAAACCUCACGACUAACAAAAGCCUUACUUCGCACGUAGUAACAGAAUUGAUAGCGAAAGGUAAACGUAACUUAAAUUCAUUCACAGUCACACCUUUCGUUUAACUUUCGAAAAUUGAUCAAAUAAAAAUCAGAUAAUUUCAUUUUAAUUGAAAUCAUGCGAGAGUCGUAAACAGAUUAUGUUUGUCUGCAUAUUGGAAAAUUAUUUAGUUCAACCUAUUUAUCCUGACACUCCUCUCGUUUGUUCAUGAAAAUAAUUAUAUUAUCAAAUCUCGAUGGUCUUGUUAUUGUUUAUCGAUUUAUUAUUUACUUGGCAUCAGUUCGAUGUAUCGCUUGUGUUCGAUUAUCGACUGCGCAUUUAAGUCGAUUAGAUUUUAUUAUGUGAUUUAUGCGUUUCGCGUAGGUACAAAGUAUUCUAAAUGUCGCAUUAUAUUUGUUUUACCCACAAUGUACAACACUGAGACUGAAACAAUAAAUAUGCAGUUUUCGAUAA